GAUUAACGCUGGCGGCGUGCAUAACACAUGCAAGUCGAACGAUGAAACUUAGUCGACUUCUUCGGAAAGACACUAAGCGGAUUAGUGGCGAACGGGUGAGUAACGCGUGAGUAACCUGCCUUACACAAGGGGAUAGCCUUUGGAAACGAAGAAUAAUACCCUAUAAAACCAUAAAAGCACAUGCUAGAAUGGUCAAAGUGAUAGCGGUGUAAGAUGGACUUGCGUCUGAUUAGCUAGUUGGUGAGAUAAAAGCUCACCAAGGCAACGAUCAGUAGCCGGCUUGAGAGAGUGUACGGCCACAUUGGGACUGAGACACGGCCCAGACUCCUACGGGAGGCAGCAGUGGGGAAGUUUGCACAAUGGGGGAAACCCUGAUGCAGCGACGCCGCGUGAUUUAGAAGGCCUUCGGGUUGUAAAAAUCUUUUGUAUAGGAAGAAAAUGACAGUACUAUACGAAUAAGGUCCGGCUAAUUACGUG
rnacentral:rRNA from 1 species